UACAAGUAUUGCCUUGUUAACAUUUGUCUCAUAGGCACAACCAAACUAGUAACACCGAGGAAUGACAGGAAGGAGAGUGGGAAGAAUACGUAAUGACUGCCCUUUUCAUGAUUAUAGUCCUUGACAAAGCUGGAAAUAGUUCCACCUUCUCCAAGUCAUUAGUUUCAGAGGUACCAUACAUACCUGUUGAACCUUCUCAUAUCUUCCUGACUGGCUUCACUGAUUCCUGAGGUCACACAAUACCUGGUUUCCUGUUUUAAGGCAUAUAAACUAAGUCAUCUGGAAUUGUGCAACUCCUUUUGCCAGGAAGCUGGAAAAGCCCCUUUCCUGUGCAGAGAGAAAAAUACAGACUCAUCCCAACAGCUGAGAAAUUGCAGAAAUACAGCAUUCGUCUUUGGGUUGCAUUUAUAUAGCAAAGAGCUAUGGCUAAUAAUUGUGCUUCUUACUGUUAAAAAUUCUACUUUUAUCCUGUCCAAGGUGUUAUGUUUAUUUAAAACUUGAGAAAAUAAAAUUGUACAUUUAAAAAAAAGAAACCA
rnacentral:lncRNA from 14 species